UACGUAGGGGGCGAGCGUUGUCCGGAAUCACUGGGCGUAAAGCGCACGUAGGCGGGUUUGUCAGUCAGGGGUGAAAUCCCGGAGCUCAACUCCGGAACUGCCCUUGAUACAGCAAGCCUUGAGUCCGGAAGAGGUAGGUGGAAUUCCUAGUGUAGAGGUGAAAUUCGUAGAUAUUAGGAAGAACACCAGUGGCGAAGGCGGCCUACUGGUCCGGCACUGACGCUGAGGUGCGAAAGCGUGGGGAGCAAACAGG
rnacentral:rRNA from 1 species